AUAUUGGACAAUGGGCGAAAGCCUGAUCCAGCCAUGCCGCGUGAGCGAUGAAGGUCUUCGGAUCGUAAAGCUCUGUCCUUGGGGAAGAAGAUCGAAAGCUUUGACGGUACCCGAGGAGUAAGCCCCGGCUAACUACGUGCCCGCAGCCGCGGUAAUACGUAGGGGGCAAGCGUUGUCCGGAAUUAUUGGGCGUAAAGGGUGCGUAGGCGGCUUUUUAAGUCAGAUGUGAAAGACCACGGCUUAACCGUGGGGUUGCAUUUGAAACUGGAAGGCUUGAGUAUCGGAGAGGGUAGUGGAAUUCCCAGUGUAGCGGUGAAAUGCGUAGAUAUUGGGAGGAACACCAGUGGCGAAGGCGACUACCUGGACGAAAACUGACGCUGAUGCACGAAAGCUGGGGGAGCAAACA
rnacentral:rRNA from 1 species